GGUACUAUGGUACAGUAGAAAAUGCAAUUGAAUUGCAAUCAAAAGACCUAGGUUCAAAUUCUGGUUAUACCA
rnacentral:tRNA from 1 species